rnacentral:rRNA from 1 species
GUUAAGCGACUAAGCGUACACGGUGGAUGCCCUGGCAGUCAGAGGCGAUGAAGGACGUGCUAAUCUGCGAUAAGCGUCGGUAAGGUGAUAUGAACCGUUAUAACCGGCGAUUUCCGAAUGGGGAAACCCAGUGUGUUUCGACACACUAUCAUUAACUGAAUCCAUAGGUUAAUGAGGCGAACCGGGGGAACUGAAACAUCUAAGUACCCCGAGGAAAAGAAAUCAACCGAGAUUCCCCCAGUAGCGGCGAGCGAACGGGGAGCAGCCCAGAGCCUGAAUCAGUGUGUGUGUUAGUGGAAGCGUCUGGAAAGGCGCGCGAUACAGGGUGACAGCCCCGUACACAAAAAUGCACAUGCUGUGAGCUCGAUGAGUAGGGCGGGACACGUGGUAUCCUGUCUGAAUAUGGGGGGACCAUCCUCCAAGGCUAAAUACUCCUGACUGACCGAUAGUGAACCAGUACCGUGAGGGAAAGGCGAAAAGAACCCCGGCGAGGGGAGUGAAAAAGAACCUGAAACCGUGUACGUACAAGCAGUGGGAGCACGCUUAGGCGUGUGACUGCGUACCUUUUGUAUAAUGGGUCAGCGACUUAUAUUCUGUAGCAAGGUUAACCGAAUAGGGGAGCCGAAGGGAAACCGAGUCUUAACUGGGCGUUAAGUUGCAGGGUAUAGACCCGAAACCCGGUGAUCUAGCCAUGGGCAGGUUGAAGGUUGGGUAACACUAACUGGAGGACCGAACCGACUAAUGUUGAAAAAUUAGCGGAUGACUUGUGGCUGGGGGUGAAAGGCCAAUCAAACCGGGAGAUAGCUGGUUCUCCCCGAAAGCUAUUUAGGUAGCGCCUCGUGAAUUCAUCUCCGGGGGUAGAGCACUGUUUCGGCAAGGGGGUCAUCCCGACUUACCAACCCGAUGCAAACUGCGAAUACCGGAGAAUGUUAUCACGGGAGACACACGGCGGGUGCUAACGUCCGUCGUGAAGAGGGAAACAACCCAGACCGCCAGCUAAGGUCCCAAAGUCAUGGUUAAGUGGGAAACGAUGUGGGAAGGCCCAGACAGCCAGGAUGUUGGCUUAGAAGCAGCCAUCAUUUAAAGAAAGCGUAAUAGCUCACUGGUCGAGUCGGCCUGCGCGGAAGAUGUAACGGGGCUAAACCAUGCACCGAAGCUGCGGCAGCGACACUAUGUGU